UGGUUCUCGCAUCGAUGAAGAACGCAGCGAAAUGCGAUAAGUAAUGUGAAUUGCAGAAUUCAGUGAAUCAUCGAAUCUUUGAACGCACAUUGCGCCCCUUGGUAUUCCGGGGGGCAUGCCUGUUCGAGCGUCAUUACACCACUCAAGCCUGGCUUGGUAUUGGGCGGCGGGGUCCCCCCCGCGCCUCCAUGUGACUCGGCUGGACGGUUGGAAUCUCAGCGUUGUGAAUCAGUUCGCUCCUGACGACGACCGCCCGCGCCGUUAAACCUCCCCAUUCAGGUUGACCUCGGAUCAGGUAGGGAUACCCGCUGA
rnacentral:misc_RNA from 1 species